AGGCUUGUCUCAUAUCAAAAAAUUUGGAAUGACAAUCAAGCCGCCUAUAGAAAGAAUCCAUUGUGCUUUGGAAAAUGAUAAGUGUGCUGUACACUUUAUUUGACAGCUCUCUCACAAAAUGUGGGGGUCUGUAAUUAUUUAAAUAUCGAGCUUCACUCCUUCAUGUAAGAAGGCUAUAAACAAUAGUGUAAAAUAAGUUGUACUUGUAACACAAUUUUAGUACUUUUUGGCUUUGUGAUUAAAUUUCUCAGACCCCGCAAUAAAUUAUUUUACUUGAGACUUCAAUAUUUCAAAUGAAUUACAAUCCAUGUUUGAAAUCUCAAAAACCAUAAAAAAGGCAUGCCAAAAAACUAAGGGUGUGAUCUCUUCGUGUUUUAAUUUUGUAAUUUUGAAUUCAUUUUGAAUUUCGUGUUUUGAGUAUGUAUUUUGAAAUUGUUGAAAAUAUAUUUUCUUUCACAUUUUGAGAAACGUUUCUGAAAACAGAAAAUGGAAAACAUGUUCACUAUGAAAUUCUUUAAAAUUUUGGAAAAUGUGUUUAACACCAAGUCCACCACCGUCAACCAUCGCUGGCAGACACAACCACUACCAUUACCAUCGACCAAAAUCGAGACCACUGUCGCCACCACCAACCAUCAACACCAUUGCCACCACCCUGAACCACUCACCACUACCAAAAUCAACAACACCCACCACCACAAUCAGACCAUUACAUCAACACCACCGCUACCACUAUCAACACCCAUCGCCUUCUAGAUCCAAAAAACAAAAAAAUGUCCAAAAGAGAAAGAAGGCAAAUUCUGGACAAAUUUGCAGUGACCCAUCGCCAUCAGAUCCCUAUCGCGAUGAACUACAACUUCUCUCUCUUCGACAGCCGACAGAGAUGGGCCCAAACCACAGCAGCGUCGCCUUCCCUGGGUCACCACACUGCAUUCACAGCAACGUCGCGUCCCCAAGAUGGCGCCGGAGCAUCUCCUUCGGCGCCGAUUGAAAUGUGAGAUCAUCCACAGUCGGUGUCGAGGAGAGAGAGAAGGCAAAGAAUGGUUGGAAGAAAGUGACGAGAUUUGGUUUCGUCUUUCAAAAUGCAUUUUUCGUGUUUUGUAUUUUUCUCGAGUUUUGUACAGAAAACAGCCAAAAUGACAUUUUGGUCGUUUUGUGUUUUUUUCACAAUUUUUUUUUAUUUGUUUUUGAAAAUGCGUUUUCUAAAAUAGGAAAGAGAACGCGUUUUCACUGUUUUGAAAAAUCGAAAACAGAAAACGACCCGAAAACGGGAAAGAGAACGCACCCUAAGCUUUUGCGUCCCAAAGCCGCAGUAUAACUUUGCAAACUCUCAUCAUAUGCCCAGAUUUUAUUCUGGCGGGUAAAUUGCCAACUUAUAAUCAGUGAUGAUGAUCCUCAUCUUCACCAUGCCCAUCAGGGUGUCCACCCUAGCCAACGACUUCCAACUGCAAAACAAAUAAAACUUGAUCAGCAUUUUUGAGUGCUAGAACAGAGCCAUUGUGAAUGAAU
rnacentral:lncRNA from 1 species